AUGGCUCAGGAUGAACGCCUAGCGACAGGCCUAACACAUGCAAGUCGAGGGGCAGCGCGGGAGAAGCUUGCUUUCCUGGCGGCGACCGGCGCACGGGUGCGUAACAGGUGUGCAAUCUGUCCAUAGUCGGGGGAUAGCCCAGCGAAAGCUGAAUUAACACUCCAUGUGAAUCGAAGCCGCAUGACUUUGAUUUGAAACGCAAGGACUAUGGGUGAGCACGCUUCUGAUUAGCUAGUUGGUGGGGUAACGGCUCACCAAGGCGACGAUCAGUAGGGGUUCUGAGAGGAAGGUCCCCCACAUUGGAACUGAGACACGGUCCAAACUCCUACGGGAGGCAGCAGUGAGGAAUAUUGGUCAAUGGGCGAGAGCCUGAACCAGCCAAGUCGCGUGAAAAGGAUGAAGGUUCUAUGGAUUGUAAACUUCUUUUGUCCGAGGGUAAAAAAGGCCACGUGUGGCUUCUUGCAAGUAUCGGACGAAUAAGCAUCGGCUAACUCCGUGCCAGCCGCUGC
rnacentral:rRNA from 1 species